rnacentral:rRNA from 2 species
GGGUUGUGAGGUUAAGCGACUAAGCGUACACGGUGGAUGCCCUGGCAGUCAGAGGCGAUGAAGGACGUGCUAAUCUGCGAAAAGCGCCGGCGAGGUGAUAUGAACCUUUGACCCGGCGAUGUCCGAAUGGGGAAACCCAGUGUGUUCCGACACACUAUCGUUAACUGAAUACAUAGGUUAACGAGGCGAACCGGGGGAACUGAAACAUCUAAGUACCCCGAGGAAAAGAAAUCAACCGAGAUUCCCCCAGUAGCGGCGAGCGAACGGGGAGCAGCCCAGAGUCUGAAUCAGCUUGUGUGUUAGUGGAAGCGUCUGGAAAGUCGCACGGUACAGGGUGACAGUCCCGUACACGAAAAUGCACAGGUUGUGAACUCGAAGAGUAGGGCGGGACACGUGGUAUCCUGUCUGAAUAUGGGGGGACCAUCCUCCAAGGCUAAAUACUCCUGACUGACCGAUAGUGAACCAGUACCGUGAGGGAAAGGCGAAAAGAACCCCGGCGAGGGGAGUGAAAAAGAACCUGAAACCGUGUACGUACAAGCAGUGGGAGCACCUUCGUGGUGUGACUGCGUACCUUUUGUAUAAUGGGUCAGCGACUUAUAUUCUGUAGCAAGGUUAACCGUAUAGGGGAGCCGAAGGGAAACCGAGUCUUAACUGGGCGUUAAGUUGCAGGGUAUAGACCCGAAACCCGGUGAUCUAGCCAUGGGCAGGUUGAAGGUUGGGUAACACUAACUGGAGGACCGAACCGACUAAUGUUGAAAAAUUAGCGGAUGACUUGUGGCUGGGGGUGAAAGGCCAAUCAAACCGGGAGAUAGCUGGUUCUCCCCGAAAGCUAUUUAGGUAGCGCCUCGUGAACUCAUCUUCGGGGGUAGAGCACUGUUUCGGCUAGGGGGCCAUCCCGGCUUACCAACCCGAUGCAAACUACGAAUACCGAAGAAUGUUAUCACGGGAGACACACGGCGGGUGCUAACGUCCGUCGUGAAGAGGGAAACAACCCAGACCGCCAGCUAAGGUCCCAAAGUCAUGGUUAAGUGGGAAACGAUGUGGGAAGGCACAGACAGCCAGGAUGUUGGCUUAGAAGCAGCCAUCAUUUAAAGAAAGCGUAAUAGCUCACUGGUCGAGUCGGCCUGCGCGGAAGAUGUAACGGGGCUAAACCAUGCACCGAAGCUGCGGCAGCGACGCUUAUGCGUUGUUGGGUAGGGGAGCGUUCUGUAAGCCGUUGAAGGUGUGCUGUGAGGCAUGCUGGAGGUAUCAGAAGUGCGAAUGCUGACAUAAGUAACGAUAAAGCGGGUGAAAAGCCCGCUCGCCGGAAGACCAAGGGUUCCUGUCCAACGUUAAUCGGGGCAGGGUGAGUCGACCCCUAAGGCGAGGCCGAAAGGCGUAGUCGAUGGGAAACAGGUUAAUAUUCCUGUACUUGGUGUUACUGCGAAGGGGGGACGGAGAAGGCUAUGUUAGCCGGGCGACGGUUGUCCCGGUUUAAGCAUGUAGGCGGAGGUUCCAGGUAAAUCCGGUACCUUUUAACGCUGAGGUGUGAUGACGAGGCACUACGGUGCUGAAGUAACAAAUGCCCUGCUUCCAGGAAAAGCCUCUAAGCAUCAGGUAACACGAAAUCGUACCCCAAACCGACACAGGUGGUCAGGUAGAGAAUACCAAGGCGCUUGAGAGAACUCGGGUGAAGGAACUAGGCAAAAUGGUGCCGUAACUUCGGGAGAAGGCACGCUGAUAUGUAGGUGAAGCCCCUGCGGGUGGAGCUGAAAUCAGUCGAAGAUACCAGCUGGCUGCAACUGUUUAUUAAAAACACAGCACUGUGCAAACACGAAAGUGGACGUAUACGGUGUGACGCCUGCCCGGUGCCGGAAGGUUAAUUGAUGGGGUUAGCGGCAACGCGAAGCUCUUGAUCGAAGCCCCGGUAAACGGCGGCCGUAACUAUAACGGUCCUAAGGUAGCGAAAUUCCUUGUCGGGUAAGUUCCGACCUGCACGAAUGGCGUAAUGAUGGCCAGGCUGUCUCCACCCGAGACUCAGUGAAAUUGAACUCGCUGUGAAGAUGCAGUGUACCCGCGGCAAGACGGAAAGACCCCGUGAACCUUUACUAUAGCUUGACACUGAACACUGGUCCUUGAUGUGUAGGAUAGGUGGGAGGCUUUGAAGCGUGGACGCCAGUCUGCGUGGAGCCGUCCUUGAAAUACCACCCUUUAAUGGCUGGUGUUCUAACGUAGACCCGUAAUCCGGGUUGCGGACAGUGUCUGGUGGGUAGUUUGACUGGGGCGGUCUCCUCCCAAAGAGUAACGGAGGAGCACGAAGGUUAGCUAAUCCUGGUCGGACAUCAGGAGGUUAGUGCAAUGGCAUAAGCUAGCUUGACUGCGAGAGUGACGGCUCGAGCAGGUGCGAAAGCAGGUCAUAGUGAUCCGGUGGUUCUGAAUGGAAGGGCCAUCGCUCAACGGAUAAAAGGUACUCCGGGGAUAACAGGCUGAUACCGCCCAAGAGUUCAUAUCGACGGCGGUGUUUGGCACCUCGAUGUCGGCUCAUCACAUCCUGGGGCUGAAGUAGGUCCCAAGGGUAUGGCUGUUCGCCAUUUAAAGUGGUACGCGAGCUGGGUUUAGAACGUCGUGAGACAGUUCGGUCCCUAUCUGCCGUGGGCGCUGGAGAAUUGAGGGGGGCUGCUCCUAGUACGAGAGGACCGGAGUGGACGCAUCACUGGUGUUCGGGUUGUCAUGCCAAUGGCACUGCCCGGUAGCUAAAUGCGGAAAAGAUAAGUGCUGAAAGCAUCUAAGCACGAAACUUGCCCCGAGAUGAGUUCUCCCUGAGACUUUAAGUCUCCUGAAGGAACGUUGAAGACGACGACGUUGAUAGGUCGGGUGUGUAAGCGCAGCGAUGCGUUGAGCUAACCGAUACUAAUGAACCGUGAGGCUUAACCUUACAACGCCGAAG